CGAAGCAAUUUCUCACGAUCCCUUCGGGGUGACGAGUUAUUGACUGAGUGGCGGACGGGUGAGUAACGCGUGGGUAACCUACCUUGUACAGGGGGACAACAGUUGGAAACGACUGCUAAUACCGCAUAAGCGCACAGCAUCGUAUGAUGCAGUGUGAAAAGUUUUUUCGGUACAAGAUGGACCCGCGUCUGAUUAGCUAGUUGGUGAGGUAACGGCCCACCAAGGCGACGAUCAGUAGCCGACCUGAGAGGGUGACCGGCCACAUUGGGACUGAGACACGGCCCAAACUCCUACGGGAGGCAGCAGUGGGGAAUAUUGCACAAUGGGCGCAAGCCUGAUGCAGCGACGCCGCGUGAGCGAAGAAGUAUUUCGGUAUGUAAAGCUCUAUCAGCAGGGAAGAUAAUGACGGUACCUGACUAAGAAGCACCGGCUAAAUACGUGCCAGCAGCCGCGGUAAUACGUAUGGUGCAAGCGUUAUCCGGAUUUACUGGGUGUAAAGGGAGCGUAGGCGGUUUUACAAGUCUGAUGUGAAAGCCCGGGGCUCAACUCCGGUAUUGCAUUGGAAACUGUAGAACUAGAGUGUCGGAGGGGUAAGUGGAAUUCCUAGUGUAGCGGUGAAAUGCGUAGAUAUUAGGAGGAACACCAGUGGCGAAGGCGGCUUACUGGACGAUUACUGACGCUGAGGCUCGAAAGCGUGGGGAGCAAACAGGAUUAGAUACCCUGGUAGUCCACGCCGUAAACGAUG
rnacentral:rRNA from 1 species